GUCUUCACAAAGCACACUUAUCCUGCCAGGUUUCAGGUUUCUCGCAGCAAGGGAAAUCAGGUGAGUGGCAGGGCUGUGUUUCCAUAAGGAGAUUUCAGGAUGUAGAGGCCAUAGCCUGCCCUGGGUGAGUAGAUCCUCAGAGAGGGACCAGAAGCAAAGGAGGGCCAAAGGGGGGGGACUGUGAGGAAAUGCAUUUUGUCCAGAUGCAGGGGAAGUGUGUUGGUGGGGAGCAAGGACCCAAUCAAGGAGCCCAGUCUGGCAGAAGUAGUGGAGGAAAGUGUCCAGGCAGUGCCAGGAUACAACAGCAGAAGAAAAACAGAGGGGACGCAUAACAGGGCCCCGAGUAAGGGGCCUGAAAUCAAGGUACAUGAGCAAGAUCCUUAAGCAGGGCAGCCAGGGUCUCAAGCAAAAAGCCAGGCCUAGGAAUAGAGAGCCAAGUGCAAGGGCCUGGGUCAAGGUAUAUGAAAACAGACAGGGCUGGUGGGGGAGAGGCAAGGGAAGGAGCUGGUAGUGCAAAGGAGGUAGGUUCAAGGCCCAGGCCCACUGCAGGUUGUCAGUGUCUGGGAGCAGGGCCUGGGCUGAGGGAGGCCAAUGGCCUAUGCAGGGGAAGGGCUAUGUUUAACAAAAUGGAGCCCCUGGGGCCAAAGGCCAGGUCCAGUCUCCUGGCCUGGGUGUAUCCUUGGAAAGGGAACAGAAAAAGGGUCCUGGCAGUGUCAGGGACGACAGGAGGGCCAAAGGAGGGCACAGCCAGAAGGGUCUGAGGAUUGAUGUGGGUGGAAUGUGGGCCAGAAUACAAGAAAGGAGCCCAGUUUAGGGACCUAGAAGAGGGCCCAGGACAUGUGAGAGCAUGGAAGGGUGGGGUUGGUAAGGUGGGGCUGCACUAGGGGACUAGUACAGAGAAUCCAAGGGGACCAGGAAGCAGCCCUAGAGAGGGGCCCACACACCAAGCCCAGGGAAACACUGAGCAAGAAGGACCACCAGAGGCUCAAAUGAGGAGCCAGGCCAGGGAAUGAAGAGCCAAGGCCUGGGGAAGGGGCCUCAGGUAAUGGACAAGGGUGGGUAGGGAAGGCUGUGGAUCCAGCAGGGUGCAGGCAGGAUCCAAUCCCCGAGCCACUGCCAGGUUUCAGGGUUCUGGAAACAGGACCAAGGGCUUGGGGAGAGCAAAGGGCCCAGGCCAGGGGCAGGGCUCUGUUUCCUAUAAGAUGCACGGGCACAGAUGAGAAUCCAGGACCAGGGACUGGGCAAAGGUGGCUGGCAAGGGAAGGGGGCCAGGAGGUAGACAAGGGGAAGGCUCAAUUUGAAGUCACAGUGGGUGUGGAGAGGGGCGAGAGCCAGUAACCAAGCAAGGAGUGCAGGCAAGGGACCGACCUGACCCA
rnacentral:lncRNA from 1 species